CCCCCACCCUGCUGGGGGCUGGUCGCCCCCUUCGUCUCUCCCCCGCCCCCCACAGCCUCCAGAACUCCCCUAAACAUGGACCUCCGUACCCCUCGCCCUCCCCUCACCCACGCACUUCCCCUCACCCCCACCCCGACUUCACCUAGUGCUGCAGUUGAAAGCGGCAGCUGCAGUUGAAAGUGUCAGCUGCAGUUGAAAGCGGCAGCUGCAGUUGAAACGGAAGCUGCAGUUGGAAGCGGCAGCUGCAGUUGGAAGCGGCAGCUGCAGUUGGAAGCGGCAGCUGCAGUUGGAAGCGGCAGCUGCAGUUUAAAGUGGCAGUCAAUUCGCAGUUAGACUGCUGAUGAGUGUGAUGGCUGCAGUUAUAAUAAAUGUUGUAGCAGCAACUGGAGCGCACAGUUUUAACCAAAGCUAACAGUAUUGAUUAUCAACACCCUUUUAAGCUUAACGAGUCCUUUAUCUAUAAGACAUUUUAUUAUAAGUCAACAGGGGCUAAGAUUUCAUUGUCAGGUUUACGGCGUGUCGACGCCGCCUGCACCGCAGCUGAACUGUUAACUCAAUCAACGCAUGAUCAUGCAUGUAGAGAUAAGCCCACCUCUUUAGGUCAUUACUGGCGUGUAGGUGUGAAUGGUGAGCUGCACCACAGCCUUGCGGAUACCUGGGCGUGUAGGUGUGAAUGGUGAGUUGCACCUUAGCCUUGAGGAUACCUGGGCGUGUAGGUGAGUGCACCUUAGCCUUGAAGUUCCCCUAGCGUAAGGCAUCACAGAAGUGCUCCCAUCAAAGCCGUCUCCACAUUGUCGGAACCGCGAGUCCUGACUUGCUCUCCUGCAUGCCAAGUUCCUCGAUGUUGUUCUCAUCGAUGGGGCAAAAUUAUAUUUCUGCAUUGUCAAUACCCAUAUCAUUAUUGUCAAUAAGUGUUUAUCUUUUAUGGUCUUCAUAGUUCUUCAAUUUUCUUUGCGUUUAAAGGAAAGUUCUGUACUUUCCUCUUGCGUUUCUGUAUAUUGUACUUUCUUUUGCGUUAAUUAAGCUCGACAACGAAGUUCAAAACUGCUGAUCUCUUUGCAUAUGUAUUAUCAGUUCUUAGUUGUAUGCUUGGAAUUGGGUGAAGUUGCUUGGUUACAUGUUUUUAAGUACGUAUAUUUUCAUGUUUUUAUGCUGAGUCGAUGAUAUUGAACUGUUCCUGAAAAAUGUAUAUUUGCAUCGCGGUGUGCUGACGUUGUGGGGUUUGGCAGAAUUUUUCAUGACGUCUCAUCUGCUCCUGGACCUGCAAGCCGUACUUUCGAAGUAAAUACUUUCCCCUCGACAUAAAGUGGCCGCUAAGCGAACACUGCCUUUCCAUGAUUUUAUCGUAUUCACUUUGAUGUGCAUUUUUUCCCACUUUAACGCUUGGUUAUCAUUUUUUUAAGUACCGGUAUUCAGUUUUAUCCUGCGUUGAGUGAAGGUAUAACCUUGCAUUGAAACAGACAGUAGCCGUUACCUGUUUUUUCUCUGGUGAAUGUAAAAAUUGUGUUUUUAUAAAGUACCUAGUCCAGUUUUAGUGCCCUGUACAUAUUGAGUAUUUUAUAAGAUCAGUUGUCACUUGGUGCUUUUUUACGACGAAUUUUUUUUUUUAUGAUGAAUCGUUUUCUAUUUUUCAGAAAACAAGUUUGUAUGCCUAACGUUAAUAUUUUAUCUCUAAGGUGCUCGAAGCGCGUUAACGGUCAAUUCAAUUAGUCCUAAGUAAUACUUACUUUGAAAAAUUGCUCUGUAAGCAAUCCUCAGUUCAAGUAAAAGUUUUUCAGCUACAAAUAUGGCAUGAAACUUGACCCAGUAAAAUGUUCGAAUCAA